rnacentral:rRNA from 1 species
UACGUAGGUGGCAAGCGUUGUCCGGAAUUACUGGGUGUAAAGGGCGCGUAGACGGGUAAGCAAGUCAGAUGUGAAAUACCGGGGCUCAACUCCGGGGCUGCAUUUGAAACUGUUUAUCUUGAGUGCAGGAGAGGGAAGCGGAAUUCCUAGUGUAGCGGUAAAAUGCGUAGAUAUUAGGAGGAACACCGGUGGCGAAGGCGGCUUUCUGGACUGUAACUGACGUUGAGGCGCGAAAGCGUGGGUAGCAAAC